UACGAAGGGGGCUAGCGUUGCUCGGAAUCACUGGGCGUAAAGGGUGCGUAGGCGGGUUUUUAAGUCAGGGGUGAAAUCCUGGAGCUCAACUCCAGAACUGCCUUUGAUACUGAGGAUCUUGAGUCCGGGAGAGGUGAGUGGAACUCCGAGUGUAGAGGUGAAAUUCGUAGAUAUUCGGAAGAACACCAGUGGCGAAGGCGGCUCACUGGCCCGGUACUGACGCUGAGGCGCGAAAGCGUGGGUAGCAAACGGG
rnacentral:rRNA from 1 species